UUGUGUCUGUUGUGGGUUGAACCGUAUCCUCCCCAAAUUCAUAUGUUGAGGCUGACUCCCAGUACCUCAGAAUGUGACAGUAUUUGGAGAUGGGAUCUUUAAAGAGGUGAUUAAGUUAAACAGAGGCCAUCAGGGUGGGCCCUAAUCCAAUCUGACUGGUGUCCUUAUAAAAAGAGGAAAUUCAGGCAGGUGAGGAGACACCAGGGACAUGUGAACACAGAGGGAACACCACAUGAGGACAAAGGGAGAAGGAGGCCAUCAGCAAGCCAGGAGAGAGCCUCAGAAGAAACCAACCCUGCUGACACCUUGACCAUGGCCUUCCAGCCUCCAGAACUGAAGGACAAUGUUACAGUCAACUGAUUCCCCAUGGAUGACAGCAGCUAUCUGUUAUAAAGACAAACAAUCCAAUUAGGACCGGCGUAGUUAAUGUAGGAUCCUACAGAAUGAAACGAGCUACUAGAUUGGCUUGGAAAAAUGCUCUCUGCCAGGUCACUUCCUGUCUUCUGUAAGAGGCAUCCACGUAAAAGACGUCUUUCGGAAUCCAGUAUAAGACACACUUUUGUUUCUUCUCAGGAAAAGAUGAAGAAGCAAAGGCUUGAAGUGUGUGUGAGUUAAGGUAACGCUGUCACAGGAAAAGCCUGUAAUCUCAAUGGUUUCUUCCAGUGGAGUUUUACUUAUUAUUCACGUAAGUUCAAGGUCAGGGAAAGUAGGUAGGUGGAGGGGACCACACAGUCAUUCAGAGAUCCAGGCUGAGAGAGGCUCUGCCACCUUCAGCAGAUGGAUACCACGGCGACCCUAGGCAUCAGUAUUCUGCUAGAGGUGGGGAAAGGAAGCUUAGAGGGUGGCUUAUGGGCCAGGACGUGGAGUGGCAUCUGUCACUCCUACCCACACUCUUCUGACCAGAACCCGUUCGUGGCCCUUUCUAGAUUUAAUAAAGGCUUGAGAAUGCAGUUGCUGGCUGGGCAGCUGCUUCUCAACGACAGCUCCACUGAAUGGAAGGAAGAGAUAAAUCUGUGAAGGACAGCAGCCGUCCCUGCCACACAGUAGUCAAAUAGAUUGUGGAAGGUCACACAAUUAGCAAGUGACAAGUGACAGGGCCAGGAUCUAAACUCUCCUUGGUCUGAUACCAGAAUCUACGUGCUUAGUAUUCCAGCGGCACUGGGCGAGAACAGACGAUAUAGGAGAAGCGAGCGGGUUUUUUAAGUUGCUUUUCUUCCCAGCCACCACUGGAGGAGCUCGGAGAGAAACAGCACGCCCGCUGCCUCUUUCUUAAGAAGAUAACACUGCCUGGGUGAUGCGUUGUUUCCCACAGUGACUCACUCAAGAUUGCUUUAGUUCAGCAAAUCGCAUCACAUCACGAAACAGUGACAUCUUUGAAGCCAGAGCUCAGGACUUCUCGAAGUGACACUCAAGAAAUGCACAAUGAGCCUCGUUUCCUGAAGAAGCUGAGAAAACAACUUAAAAACCAACAACACACAGUAACAUGAAAUUCUCGUUACAGCUGGCCUCUUUAGUCGCCGCUCCCCAGCUAGUUAAGCUCAAUGGAUUCUGUGCAGACCAUUCUCAGACUGAUUCACAGGACUGCUCUGACGGAAGUGUCUGCAUGUUACUUUGGCCAAUGUGGUAUCAGGAAUAUUACUAGGAAAUAAUGGGUGUUUACUUUGUACCGGAAUCUUGUCUAAUUGCUUCUCAUGCAUUUUCCCAUUUAAUCCUUUAUAAAAUAUGGUAAACUCUGUCUCAAUUAAGAAAUAA
rnacentral:lncRNA from 1 species